GACGAACCACACGAACGUUAUUCGGAAUUACUGGGCUUAAAGGGUGCGUAGGCUGUGCGGCAAGUUAGGUGUGAAAUCCCCCGGCUCAACCGGGGAAUUGCGCUUAAAACUACCGUGCUAGAGGAAUACAGAGGUGAGCGGAACUUCGGGUGGAGCGGUGAAAUGCGUAGAUAUCUGGAGGAAUACCGGUGGCGAAGGCGGCAUCCUGGACCGACAUUGACGCUGAGGAGCGAAAGCUAGGGGAGCAAACGGG
rnacentral:rRNA from 1 species